rnacentral:misc_RNA from 1 species
GGGGCGGGUUAUGUCAUUGCGGCUCAAUCUGUUCGUUUCCUUUAUCGUUGCGGCUUUUUUCCUCGCAUCUCCGGUGGCCGUGCAUUCCGCACGCGCGCAGGUGCAGGUCGCGGUGAUCGGCGACAGCAACGUUUACGGCAAGGGCAUCUCUCCCUCCGAGAACUAUCCGAGUCAGCUUCAAGCCGCGCUAAACGCGCGAGGUC